rnacentral:misc_RNA from 1 species
UUUUCUUUUCUUUUUUUCUUUUUUUAAUCACAAAUAACACAAACUAAGCUAAAUAACAAUUGUACUCUCAAACAAUUAAAAUAACAAACACGUGGUAGCACUUGAAGGAAAAUCUCCCAUACAAGUGUUUUCUAAAACACUUUGUAUACUUCAAUCACCCAACAACAAAAGGAGUUCAACAAAAUAAGCAAAAAGCACGAAGUACGAAAAAGAAACUUGAUGGACGAAACUCAAACAAAAUGGAUUAAAGAAAUUAAGACUCAGUUUGUGUAGAUGAAAGCAAAGAAAAUGCCAAACAAAGAAAAGCACAAAAGGAAAACUCAAGAGACACAUAUUCAACAAAGAUCCAAAUAAUAAAGAAAACAAACAAAUUAAAGGAUAGACAAAUCUGACUUUGGAGAGCCAAAGCACUGAUACCAAUUUGAUACAAACUCUAGAUGACUUUGCUUGAAACCCACAAUCAAUUUAGUUUAUUUCCAAGAUUGUUCCAAAAUAGGUUCAAACAGCAAAGACUCACUUGACCCAACACCAACUUGUGGUGGAAGACCAAGAAAAUCAAGAUGUCUUUUAAUGAUUGAACUUGGCCCAAUAUUAACAUGUGAUAGAAAAUUAAGAAUAAAUCGAUAGGAAAUCAAGAAUUCAUAACCCAAUACCAAUGUUGUGAUAGAAAACUAUGAAUAUCAAAUUAAAGCUUAACCAGUGAAUUAGCCUUGUGAAGACUGAAAUUUUGUUUAUGCAAGAACCAAAAAAAGAAUCCUUUCUCCCAAAACCACAAUGGUAAAUGAUAAUAAUACUUGAAAUCUAAAUUUGCCUAAAAGAAGAAGAAAAACACACAUCUAUAAUGGUGGCUGCCUAAAACCCUAAUACCUAACAUUAAACCCUAACAAAAUGUAAAGAAAUUACAAAAUAACCAAAGAAAUUUAUCUUAUAGCAAAUCUCACAAGCAUUGGUGCACCUAUGUUGAAUGUGAUUUGCUGCUCAAAUAAGCUCCCAAAAAUGUCUCAUGGCCUCUUGCGUGCUUAUUAGCUCAUCCCAUGGCCUACCAUGCACCAUUCUUCCAUCUCAUGGGUAAUUGUGCACCCUUCAUGCAUCCCAUGGGCAAUAGUGCGUCUCAUGAUCUCCUUUGCUUCCUCAAAUAUGUCUCAUGUCUAGUGGUGUGCCUAGGGAGAAUUCCAUGGCUGGUGGUGUGCCCAAAUGAGGCUUUUUAGUGUGUCUCAUGGUUGGUGGUGAGUCUCUGAUGGUCAGUUAUGGGAUAUUCUAUCCCCUUUCGUAAAUGGAAUUGUUUUGGGAUUUUAUUAGCUCUUGUGAAUGAAAAGGCUAGCAUUAAACUCUACUAACUCCAACCUUAUGUGGCACGGAAAUGGAAACACGAACAUGGGAAAACACGGAAUCGGACACGAGAAAACAAUAUUUUCAAAAAUGUAAGAAACGGAAAUGUGGGAAAAUGCAUAGAUAUAAACAAUAUAGGGUGUGUGUG